rnacentral:tRNA from 1 species
GGAGGGGUGGCCGAGUGGUUAAAGGCAGCAGACUGUAAAUCUGCCGAUGUAUGUCUACGUAGGUUCGAAUCCUACCCCCUCCACCA